GGUAGGUUGACACCAUAGCCUGGAGGGUGUUGAGGCCAGGUCGAUCGAGGAUUGCGUUGUAGGCUAACGGUGCCUUCACCACCAGAAAAUCCACCAGAGCCCUGGAUUGUCUUGGAUAUCGACCUGCAACUACAGUCAAAGUUAUUACUCCCUCCACUGGGAUAGCAUCGUCGGUAAAUCCUACUAAAGGGGAGCUAAUCAGCCCCAA
rnacentral:lncRNA from 1 species